rnacentral:rRNA from 1 species
ACCUACAGAAGAAGCACCGGCUAACUCCGUGCCAGCAGCCGCGGUAAUACGGAGGGGUGCGAGCGUUAAUCGGAAUUACUGGGCGUAAAGCGCAUGCAGGCGGCUUGUUAAGUCAGAUGUGAAAGCCCGGGGCUUAACCUCGGAAUUGCAUUUGAAACUGGCAGGCUAGAGUCUUGUAGAGGGGGGUAGGAAUUUCAGGUGUAGCGGUGAAAUGCGUAGAGAUCUGAAGGAAUACCAGUGGCGAAGGCGGCCCCCUCGGACAAAGACUGACGCUCAGAUGCGAAAGCGUGGGGAGCAAACAGGAUUAGAUACCCUGGUAG